AUUACACGCUGACAAAAAGCUGAUGACUCAAAGUGAAGCUUUUAUUUGGCUGUACUUGAGU
rnacentral:snoRNA from 1 species